GACUCGUCACACUAUCAUUAACUGAAUCCAUAGGUUAAUGAGGCGAACCGGGGGAACUGAAACAUCUAAGUACCCCGAGGAAAAGAAAUCAACCGAGAUUCCCCCAGUAGCGGCGAGCGAACGGGGAGGAGCCCAGAGCCUGAAUCAGCAUGUGUGUUAGUGGAAGCGUCUGGAAAGGCGCGCGAUACAGGGUGACAGCCCCGUACACAAAAGCGCAUGUGCUGUGAGCUCGAUGAGUAGGGCGGGACACGUGGUAUCCUGUCUGAAUAUGGGGGGACCAUCCUCCAAGGCUAAAUACUCCUGACUGACCGAUAGUGAACCAGUACCGUGAGGGAAAGGCGAAAAGAACCCCGGCGAGGGGAGUGAAAAAGAACCUGAAACCGUGUACGUACAAGCAGUGGGAGCACAGGUUUACCUGUGUGACUGCGUACCUUUUGUAUAAUGGGUCAGCGACUUAUAUUCUGUAGCAAGGUUAACCGAAUAGGGGAGCCGGAGGGAAACCGAGUCUUAAUUGGGCGUUAAGUUGCAGGGUAUAGACCCGAAACCCGGUGAUCUAGCCAUGGGCAGGUUGAAGGUUGGGUAACACUAACUGGAGGACCGAACCGACUAAUGUUGAAAAAUUAGCGGAUGACCUGUGGCUGGGGGUGAAAGGCCAAUCAAACCGGGAGAUAGCUGGUUCUCCCCGAAAGCUAUUUAGGUAGCGCCUCGUGAAUUCAUCUCCGGGGGUAGAGCACUGUUUCGGCUAGGGGGCCAUCCCGGCUUACCAACCCGAUGCAAACUGCGAAUACCGGAGAAUGUUAUCACGGGAGACACACGGCGGGUGCUAACGUCCGUCGUGAAGAGGGAAACAACCCAGACCGCCAGCUAAGGUCCCAAAGUCAUGGUUAAGUGGGAAACGAUGUGGGAAGGCCCAGACAGCCAGGAUGUUGGCUUAGAAGCAGCCAUCAUUUAAAGAAAGCGUAAUAGCUCACUGGUCGAGUCGGCCUGCGCGGAAGAUGUAACGGGGCUAAACCAUGCACCGAAGCUGCGGCAGCGACGCUGAUGCGUUGUUGGGUAGGGGAGCGUUCUGUAAGCCUGCGAAGGUGGCCUGUGAGGGUUGCUGGAGGUAUCAGAAGUGCGAAUGCUGACAUAAGUAACGAUAAAGCGGGUGAAAAGCCCGCUCGCCGGAAGACCAAGGGUUCCUGUCCAACGUUAAUCGGGGCAGGGUGAGUCGACCCCUAAGGCGAGGCCGAAAGGCGUAGUCGAUGGGAAACGGGUUAAUAUUCCCGUACUUGGUGUUACUGCGAAGGGGGGACGGAGAAGGCUAUGUUGGCCGGGCGACGGUUGUCCCGGUUUAAGCGUGUAGGUGUGUGUUCCAGGUAAAUCCGGUUCACUUUAACACUGAGGCGUGAUGACGAGGCACUACGGUGCUGAAGCAACAAAUGCCCUGCUUCCAGGAAAAGCCUCUAAGCAUCAGGUAACAUCAAAUCGUACCCCAAACCGACACAGGUGGUCAGGUAGAGAAUACCAAGGCGCUUGAGAGAACUCGGGUGAAGGAACUAGGCAAAAUGGUGCCGUAACUUCGGGAGAAGGCACGCUGACACGUAGGUGAAGUGAUUUACUCAUGGAGCUGAAGUCAGUCGAAGAUACCAGCUGGCUGCAACUGUUUAUUAAAAACACAGCACUGUGCAAACACGAAAGUGGACGUAUACGGUGUGACGCCUGCCCGGUGCCGGAAGGUUAAUUGAUGGGGUCAGCGCAAGCGAAGCUCCUGAUCGAAGCCCCGGUAAACGGCGGCCGUAACUAUAACGGUCCUAAGGUAGCGAAAUUCCUUGUCGGGUAAGUUCCGACCUGCACGAAUGGCGUAAUGAUGGCCAGGCUGUCUCCACCCGAGACUCAGUGAAAUUGAACUCGCUGUGAAGAUGCAGUGUACCCGCGGCAAGACGGAAAGACCCCGUGAACCUUUACUAUAGCUUGACACUGAACAUUGAGCCUUGAUGUGUAGGAUAGGUGGGAGGCUUUGAAGUGUGG
rnacentral:rRNA from 2 species